rnacentral:tRNA from 1 species
AGCUCGGUGGUGAAACGGACAUCAUUUCUCGCUUCUAACGAGAAGUCCCAGGUUCGAUUCCUGGUCGGGCUU